CUCUGUGACUUCAGCCCGGGUGAUGGACGAGUCCACCUCUGAGGCCUCAUCCUCCGCUUCCUCAUUGGAAGACAUGACGGCGGGAUUGAGGAGAUCCUCGAAGUACUCCUUCCACCGCCCGACGACAUCCCCAGUUGAGGGGACCCACAUUAAUGUACACACAUUUUAGACCCAUUUUAAUGUAUGCACAUUUUAAAAACGGAAUGUUACAAUAGUAAUACAUAAAAACAUCUGAGUACAAUUCUGAACAUUUGAUAGUUCGUUUUGUGUAAAAAAAACCCAGAUAAUUUAGAGACAAUCAUUCAUUCAAAUAGUCUUAUACAAUAAUUAUUAACACCCUUUUAAACCAGAUUUAACGUACAGCUAAGGUAAGUCUGACCAAAUAAUUUUGGCUCAAGUGUCGUAACAGAUCUUGUCAAAACCCCCUAUGGGCCAUCACUUGUAUACAAUUAGGAAUUUUGCACAUGAGCAGGAAAAUAAUGUCUCCACUCCCAUAAAACAGAUGACAUCACAUGUUAGUUAGUGUAAGGAAGGUACAGGGGAUGUCAAGUGCAGUGUUAGAUGACUUAAAGCCAGGGCUGGUAUUUUUUAUGUAUUCUUUGUAAUUAAAAUAACGUUUAAAGAGAGAGGGUUUUUUGAGACAUUUUCAGAAGAUGGACAGGGACUUAGCUGUCCUGGUACGAUGGAUACUGGGUUUUCCCUAGUGCUGCCAGGACAGAGAAGAACUUCAACCGGGCUGAACAGGAGCUGCCCUCAUAUGGGAAUGAUAACCCAGCAGGCAUCUGUUAUUUUAAAGAAAUGCAUAUACUCAACCAUCCUAACAGCCCACUGCAUGUAGCUGCUGGGUUCUUCGUAAAUCUUGCUCCGUUUGGCUUUUGUUCUCCAUCGCUCAGUGGCCAGAUUUGUAAUUCCUUGAAUCUCCACAAGGAGUGCUAUAUCUGCUCGCAAAUGGGUAGGCAGUUACGUUGAAUGUAAAUCGAAACUGAAAUUUGGAAAAGGCAUGUCUAGCAUUGCUGUGUUUCUCGAAUAGUAAAAAUCUGUGAAAUCGCAGGGAGAGUCUGAGCCAAAGGCAGGUGACUGUCAGAGGGAUGUGAGGGAUCAGGUGGAUGCUGAGGCACCUAUAUAUUGAUUUAUUACUCAGACAAAAAAAUGAACAGAUGAAUUCCCAGCUCAGUCAUCCAAAGAAGAAAGGAUACAAUGAAGACAUUGUAGAGAGGUUUAGAAGGAAACUUGACCUCAUUUUUGAAUACAAAGGCUUAGUUAAUCAAGGGGCAACAUGUUAUUUGAACAGUGUUCUGCAGGUCCUCUUCAUGACCAAAAGCUUCAGAGAGGCUGUGGAAAGUCACUCUGGUAAAAAUCCGAAGACUGUUGAUUUUCAGCUUAAAAGCCUAUUCAAGACUUUAAAGACGAAAGAAACUAACAUAAAGGACAUCUUACCUACACUGAGCAUUGUAAACGUGCAUGAGCAACGUGAUGCUGCAGAGUAUUUAGAGAAACUUUUAAGCAUGGUCAAUCCUGAUUGGUCUAAGAUGUUUAAAGGACAGUUCAGACACACUACCAGAUGUUCAAAAGGUCAUGAGGUCAGUGAUGUAACUGGCCCGUUCUGGACUCUGCCACUUUCAUUGGCUCAUUCAUCAGACAAAUCCUGCAGUGUGAUGGAAGGUUUGGAGGAGCUUUUCAAAUCUUCAAUCGUCAGUGAGAUGUACUGUGACCAAUGUGAAGAAAGAACACAUGCAACCAUUGCAGGUGAGAUGGUGGAGCCCCCAGAGAUUCUCACUCUGUUACUCAAGAGGUUUGAGUUUGACUACCGCAGGAGGUCGUAUGUCAAAAAGGACUGCAGUGUGGAUGUUCCUCACACAUUACAGAUAAAGGACUGUGACUAUGAGCUCUAUGCGGUUGUGGACCAUGUGGGAAGUCUAAGAGGUGGACAUUACACAGCCACAAUCAGGUCCUAUGAGGAUCACAACUGGUAUGUCUUUGAUGACACAUAUGUCCGACUGGCCAGUCAACAAUCAACCAGCCAUGUGGAUAAUGAAAGGUAAAAUCACCACUUGAGGUACUGUGUUUAAAAAAACAUCAGGCUCUGAUAUGACUGUGUUUUGCUGGACCGUGUGUGCGGAGCCUUCCCAUGCAGGCGACCAGUGUUCGAUCCACAUUGCAGACAGAACAAAGUGUGCAUUUGGAUUUGUUCAGGAUGGACAGAAACUUUGCUGGCUUCAAUCUUCUGUAGCUAUGUUAAAUAAUCCCAGAGUCCGUAUCUGCUUAUGUACCAGAAGGAUCAACCAAGAAAGGAAGAAAUUGAGAGAAUAAUGGAAUUGAAGUGUAUGGAAGAGGACUGGAAGAACAUAGAGGAAAAACUGAAAAUAAUAAAAGAACAAUGUAAGAGAAUGAAUGAGAAAUUAAUGGAAAUAAUCAAUAUGGAAUCUAAGAGUAUAUCAGUACAACAGGAGAGAGUACAUGUGGAAUCAAAGACCUGUGAAGACAGCAGUAGAAGUGGUGAAAAGGCCAGUCAUCAUGCCAAUUGUUGUCCAAUGACAACAGAGAAAAAGAAGGGACUUAAAGAGAAUAUAAGAGAAAUUGAAAAGAGUAGGAGAGAAAUUGAAAAGUAUAAAAGAAGGUUUGAAGUCCAUAGAAAUGGAAUCGGACAGUAUGGAAGACAGAGUGAAGAAUAUAGAAAAGGAAUUCAAAAGAAUAGAAGAGCAAUUGAAGAGUGUAGAAAAGGAAUUCAUGAGUGUAAAAGAAAACUUGUCAAGUGUAAAAGAGUAAUUGAACAUAUGGCUGAGUUGGGACCUGACAGACUCCCUGUGGGAAUGAAGGAAAUGACCUGAGGAAGGGAGGCAAAGAGUGCAAUGUAAUAGGUAUGCUAGGAUUCAUUAUAUUAAGUUUUAUUCAGUGGUCUUUUGGUAUUGAAUACAGACUUACAGACCCCAAUAUAAUUCCUGUGCCCUGCACUCUGAACACUCGCAAUGAAAGCUGCAUCAACAAGUACCGAAGAACUGCUGAAGAACUGCCCCAGCUGCAGGGGGUCUCCCACUGCUCCUCUGUUCCUGCCUGUCGCACCUGUGGCCAACAGGUGGAGCACAA